UCGCCAGACUCCUACGGGAGGCAGCAGUGAGGAAUAUUGGUCAAUGGGCGGGAGCCUGAACCAGCCGAGUCGCGUGAGGGAAGACGGUCCUAUGGAUUGUAAACCUCUUUUGUCGGGGAGCAAAAGACGCCACGUGUGGCGUUCCGAGAGUACCCGAAGAAAAAGCAUCGGCUAACUCCGUGCCAGCAGCCGCGGUAAUACGGAGGAUGCGAGCGUUAUCCGGAUUUAUUGGUUUUAAAGGGUGCGCAGGCGGAUUUUUAAGUCAGCGGUCAAAUCGUGGGGCUCAACCCCAUCCAGCCGUUGAAACUGGGGAUCUAGAGUGUGCGAGAGGUAUGCGGAAUGCGUGGUGUAGCGGUGAAAUGCAUAGAUAUCACGCAGAACCCCGAUUGCGAAGGCAGCAUACCGGUGCACAACUGACGCUCAGGCACGAAAGCGUGGGUAUCGAACAGGAUUAGAUACCCCCGUA
rnacentral:rRNA from 1 species